AUUGAACGCUGGCGGCAGGCCUAACACAUGCAAGUCGAACGAGUGGCGGACGGGUGAGUAAUGUCUGGGAAACUGCCUGCUGGAGGGGGAUAACUACUGGAAACGGUAGCUAAUACCGCAUACCAUCGGAUGUGCCCAGAUGGGAUUAGCUAGUAGGUGGGGUAAAGGCUCACCUAGGCGACGAUCCCUAGCUGGUCUGAGAGGAUGACCAGCCACAGUGGAACUGAGACACGGUACAGACUCCUACGGGAGGCAGCAUUGGGGAAUAAUGCACGAUGGGCGAAGGGUUGAUGGAGCCAUGCCGCGGGUAUGAAGAAGGCCUUAGGGUGGUAAAGUACUUUCAGCGGGGAGGCGUUACCCGAAGAAGAAGCACCGGCUAACUACGUGCCAGCAGCAGCGGUAAUUC
rnacentral:rRNA from 1 species